GUGGGGAAUAUUGGACAAUGGGCGCAAGCCUGAUCCAGCAAUACCGCGUGUGUGAAGAAGGCCUUAGGGUUGUAAAGCACUUUCAAUUGGAAGGAAGACCUGAUUGCUAAUACCAGUCAGACUGACAUUACCUUUAGAAGAAGCACCGGCUAACUCCGUGCCAGCAGCCGCGGUAAUACGGAGGGUGCAAGCGUUAAUCGGAAUUACUGGGCGUAAAGCGUGCGUAGGUGGUUGUUUAAGUCAGAUGUGAAAGCCCUGGGCUCAACCUGGGAACGGCAUUUGAUACUGAAUAACUGGAGUUUGGGAGAGGCAAGUGGAAUUUCAGGUGUAGCGGUGAAAUGCGUAGAUAUCUGAAGGAACACCAGUGGCGAAGGCGGCUUGCUGGCCUAAAACUGACGCUGAGGCACGAAAGCAUGGGGAGCAAACAGGAUUAGAAACCCCGGUAGUCC
rnacentral:rRNA from 1 species